UACGGAGGGGACUAGCGUUGUUCGGAAUUACUGGGCGUAAAGCGCACGUAGGCGGAUUUGUAAGUCUGUCGUGAAAUCUCCGAGCCUAACUCGGAAACUGCGUCGGAUACUAUUCAACUCGAGGAAUGGAGGGGAGACUGGAAUUCUCGGUGUAGCAGUGAAAUGCGUAGAUAUCGAGAGGAACACCAGUGGCGAAGGCGAGUCUCUGGACAUUUCCUGACGCUGAGGCACGAAAGCCAGGGGAGCAAACGGG
rnacentral:rRNA from 1 species